CUUACUAGAGGGCAUUGUAUUUUUCAUCUCCCGGGUCAUGCUGGGACAUGUCCAGAGCCACUGUCUUCUCAGUUUUAGGUUAACCGCUAUUGGAAAGGUAGUGUAGAAACGACGUUGGCGUUCGCGUCGUAUUUAUUGUAUUUCUUUUUAUAUCCACGUUUUAUAACAUCGCAAAAGCUGCAAGAAAACUUCACGAAUUUAAGCGAUAAAGGGUUAAAGGCUGUCCCCAGUAUUGACCUGCAGACACACACGGAACCCUCCCACAAGAACAGUAAGUGUUACAUUUGUUUUUGCUUUCCAAACUUGUCUCCUCCAAAUAGGUUGUUAUAGUGCUGACACAAACUGGGCGCAAUUUUUUACAAGCCUUUCUUAGUACAUAUAAAAAGAGAAGCUGUCUCCAUCUCUUUUUCAUUAACCAAUGACUGCACGCUACACAUUGUGCCUUUUGUACCGAGAGACAAUGAAAGUUUU
rnacentral:lncRNA from 1 species